rnacentral:lncRNA from 1 species
UAAAAGGAAAAAUGUAAAAGAAAAAAGUCUGGUGCAUGUGCUGCCGCAGCCCGAGCUCACCCCUUCCACCGGCCCUUUUACCCAAAUGUACGCAUUUUCCAUGAUGUUCUUCAAGGAAGUAUUUGACAACAUUGCAGCCCAGGAAUCUCCAGCCCUCUUCCCGGUGAGAUUUUCAGAAGAUUUCUUGCAUCUGCAGUACACGUGGCUCUCAGAAACAGAAAGCGCCUGAGACAGUGAGCUUCCCGGCGCUCCCUUGCUGGACGCCCGGCCCAUCUGCAGCUCUGUCUUCCCACAGGGGCAGUGCCUGAAGCAUCCCGAUAGAUUUUUAAUCUCUGCUGCAUGGACAGUUCUGCCCGGAAAGAUGGUGAUACUAUUUCCCUUACAGCAUGAAUGUGUGCGUAUGGGGCAUGUAAGUUGUGGGGGGGGUGUUGAAGGGGCUCCCAGAAUUUGUUUCUGAGCAAAGUGUCCACAUUAAAGGAAAUUGAUGCCAAAAAGGGGCAGCAGAGAAAGACAGGGAGCGGGCCUGUGACUCAGUUGCUCUCUGUGGAAUUAUAAGUCCUUCUGAGACCGGGAGGGAGCAAGGCAACAAAGAGAAAAGAGAUGGGAAUGUGAAUAGGUUUCUAAAAGACCAACCAAAAGGAAAACAAAUUAAAUUUCAGUGGGCAGGUGUUGUGUAGUUUCCGAUUUGAAAGAGAGAGGUGCGAUAGGCGUGCAUGUUCACCCCACAGGGAAGAGGGAAUCAGAAGCCAGGGAGACCCCUGGAGAUGGGGAGCAUGGAAACAGAGGUGAAAGGGGAACGCGUUCAGGUUUGUUUCUUAAUCAAAGGUAGCAAUUUGCUCCCAGAAACCUGCUAAUGUGGACACUCAACAUGUGCCCAUUGGUCUCCAUUUAUGACUUGUAAUGCCCUGUUUAUUCCCGCUUAGAGGAUGUUGAAAAUGAUGCAAACAAGUUUUUGUUUUGUUUUAUUUUGUUUUAAGGGAGAAAACAAAAUCCACUCAACCAAGUGAUGCCAGGCUUGGGAAGGGAGGAAGGGGCUUUACUGGCUCAAAGAUGUUGCCCACAAUCCAGGGUUCCCUGAGAAAAUGAACGCGCCUCCCUCGUCUCACACCCUCCUCCAAGGCUAGUUUGGGUCCUUUUUGUCCCAGCCGGGUUGUAGUUCAGCCACUCCAGGAACCCCUUGAAGGAUUUACACUUGGACGUGUGCAGACAUGCACAGACCCACCGGCCUGUUUUGUUUGUUUGUUUUGCAAAAUCGAUUGGAGAGCCAGAUCCUGCGUGCCUGGCGUGGGCAAAGGUAACACAGCCCCUGGCAAGUCAGUAAAGAAGAAAAGUUCAGGGUGGGAGCCAGGUGGGGUGCACGCAGAACAGAGGCACAGGGAGACAGAGGAACCCCGGCCCACCCCAGAGAGAGACCGAGGAUAUUCCCUCAUCAGAAUUCAGAGAAUCUAGAGGCUCAGGGACAGGGGCGAGGCCCCAAGAGACAUAUACAAAGAUUGUGGGAGAAUCGGGGACUCAGCACAGUGAGGGAGGUGUGGAUGGAAGGCAAAGACGUGCAGGGAGGCAGCAACACACACACAUGCACAGGCACAUACACACAACACGUGCACACACACACCUCACACAGACAGAGCACACAAAUACACACAGAAAACAAAUACACACACAGGCACACACAGAACACACACAGGACACACAAAUGCACACACACGCACACACAGAGAACACACAAAUGCACACACAGAGAGCGCACAAUACAAGCACACGCAUACACAGAUUCCAUUCACAUGGAUGGAUUUCCUUGGUUGGCUGCAGGGAAGUACCCUGAGGAAGAAGUGGGGUUUGGGGUGGCCAGAGCCCCACUCCAGAGGCCCCCAUUCUCAGCUCUGAGUUUAAAACCCCGCUAAUGCAGGAAGGGUCCCAGAGGUGGAGAAGGGUUCCGUCCUGACCCUGGCAUUAGCUCUGGCCUUGAGCAAAUGAUUUAAAUCUCUCGGUGCCUCAGUCCCCAUCCACAGAGCUGACAUGAGGACCAGGGAAGGAACACCUGAAGUGCGUCCUGCAGGGUCUGGCAGGGGUGGGGGUGGGGGGAUGGGCACCGUAAACUCAAACCAUGGCCGAAUUGUUAAACAAACAAAUAUAGCUAUUAGUGAUUGGGAGUGUGGGUCCCACCUGGCUAAGACUCCGCUCCACUGCUGUGUGACAUGGGGACAUGGGCUGGUGGCUUUGUCUCUCUGUGCUUCGUUUUCCUCAUCUGCAAAACAAGAACAAUGACAGCACCUCCUUUCUGGGUGGCUGAGCUGAUUAAAUUAGUUAGCAAUUGUUAGCUGUGGUUGUUAUUGUUGGGGGUGCAGAGCCCCUUCAAGCCUGGCAGUUUAGGGUCAGGGCCAGGCAUGAGCAGAAGUGGGGAGUCUAAGCUCUUGCGUGCUGGUGAAUGAGCACCUUCCCCUCUGGGCUCUGGGAGGAGCCUGGGGGUCAACCAGCGGCCUCCUUGAGCCCUUGGAGAACUCAGAAUGACUUCUCAACAUCCAGACGGUGACACAGUCUCAGAUGUAGCCCCCAUCCUCUCAUGGCUGGGCUUGGUCCCCAGUCACCCUCUGCAGUCGACAGAGCCCCUCAUUAAGGGGUCCCCACCGCAUUGUAGUGGCUGCCCCAGAACUGGGUCAGAAUCCCACCUCGCUGCCCCAUCUGCUCUGUGGCCCCUGGGCAGCUUCUUGACCUCUCUGAGCCCCCUUUCUCUUUUGCAGGAUGGCAAGAAUAACAGUCCCUGUGCUCUAGGGCAGCCAUGAAGACUAAAUGGAAAGAUAAUGCUGUUACAAUUAGAGAACGGCUGAGCACCCGCAGUGUGCAAGCACUGUGCUGAGGCAUUGCUGUUAUUUGUGCAGUUGCUGUUCUGAAGCCCAUUUCACAGACAGGAAAGCAAGGUGCAGCACAGAGGCAAACAGUAAGGGCCCAAUAAACGCUGGAUCGAUUUUAAGGCACUUCCCUCCCUUCUCCCAAAGUCGACAGUGCAGACCCCUGUGGCAUCUGGACUCUGGGCUGCCAUUGGCAAGCCCAGGAAAAGCACGGGGUUGGCGGGGAGGCUGGAAGCGGGGAGGGGAAAUGUCCUCAUCUACUUGGAGGCUCUGGCAACGUUAAGGCAGGUUUGAAAGCCCUUGCAUCCCCCUUCCCCAGCUUCCCACAACACCUAAUAACAAAACAACAGCUUCUAGCCUGGGGUCCUGCCUGGGACCACCUCCCCGGGGAAAGCAGGGGAAAUCUGAGGCCUCCUGGGGAGGCCCCACCAGCUCCCACCCCCACUUCCCAGCCUUCAGCCCCCUACAGUCCAGUUUCUGAGAAAUGACAGGGAGGGUGAGGGGUGGGGGUUUUGUCCUGAACAUCCCCUCAACGUCAGCACUGUCUGUUGCUGUUUUGCUGCGGGGUUGGGGGAGGCGCUCAUUCGCCCUUUGCCCCUCCCUGGGUGUUCAGGGAGAAUCCUUAUUGAAGGCUCUUUUCAAGUCAAGGAAUUGGAGCAGGAGGACUUCGAGCAAAGCGGGGCCCUUAGAGCCGCUUGGACUUAGCUCCUUGGAGGUCAGAGGGGCCCCUGUCCCCCAUUCUGCAAAGCAGACCUCCCAGGAGAAUUCCUUGGAGUAGGGGGCCCUGACUGGCCCAGGCACUGUCUCUACCUGGGGUGUCAUAGAGACUGCUCCUCUGCUCCUCAGCCUAAGGGUUGGAGCGCUCCUAGCAAUGUAAAUAACAAGCGCGUUAUCCCCGUCUUAGCGAUGAUUAUUUUUGCCUCUCACCUUGCCACUCAGUGCUCACCUUGUUACCAGCCAGCAAGCUUUCUACCCUCUAGAAUUUAAAAAUCAAAUGGAGGCGAAAACAUAAAGUAACCACUCAAAGUUCAUAGUCCUUUUAUUUUGAAACGUAUUUUCUCAAUGUUUGCAAUACACCAAAUCUUUAACCAAUUUGAUCACACAGAGAUCCUAGCGCCUAUUCCUUUUUAAAAGGAAUUUCUGUGGUUCACUUGGUUUUCAUAUGUGCUCUGCAUUUCUCUACCCCAGUGCCAAUUAAUUCUCAUCCUGGGGAUUUUUUCCUAAUAGUUAGCAAUUAAUUACCUGCAAAAAUUCUAUCCCUGACAUGGGUAGAUGUAUAAGACCCGCUAUUUAAAAAAGCAUAAACCGCAACAUAUUUUAAAUAUUUUGUUAUAUACCCAAGGUCAGCAUUGAUCCUUUUAUCUGGCCUCUCCUCCCACCUCCCUUAGGGUUUGAAAACCACUUCGUUCCCACUGGCAGCUGCAGGCGAAGCUUUCUCUCAGUGGGGUCAUUGUUUUUUUUCCCAAAAUUGAGCUGAGAUCCAUUUAAUGCACCAUGAAAACUAACUUAAUUAGGAAUCAAAUUCAUUCUUUUGUGAGACCAGCGGUAAGCGUCCAACACUCCCUCCGCUGCCGCCCCCACGUUUUUCUGCGUUUUUUGCUAAGCCGCCUCUGCUGAAGUCCGUGACUCCAGGGCAGCCGCCCCUCCACCGCUGCCCACCUGCCCCUGACUUCUCUCUCUCUCUCUCUCUCUCCAUUUUAAGCAACCGAGGCGCACUCUGGUUUUGCAAGUCUGACAUUCUUUACGUCGCCUUCCCGGAAAAAUUUGUCCAGGGCUGGCGUCCGGCCGAGGCGGUGCAUCUGACGCCCGGGAGAAGCAGAGCGCGUUUCUUUUGGCGUGGACCUGGGACCCCCGCGGGUUCCAGGGGCGGCACGCCUUGGGGUCGGCAUUGGGACCUGGCUGCGAGGCAGCUCGGCGGCCAGGAAGGCGCCGGCGGCGGCGGGAGGGUGCCAGGCAGCCCCGGCUGGAGGGAAGAUAGGCUACAGGCAGCCAAGGGCUGGACAGACUGCUGGGUGGCUCCUCUCAUCUUCCUUACCCUCAGGUGUGUCUAAAAGCUCCAGCUCAGACCAAGAGGGGGCCAUGUCCGAAACAGGCAUCACUGCCUGGAACUGGCUUCCUUGCUACUGUUCAGGUUGUUUUGUGGCUGGGAGGGUCCCCCAUCUGAGAUGACAAAUGUGACAUAUACUCUUGGAAGUACAUGAUCUAUUAGUCACAGCAAGAGAAUCUGCCAUGCAAAGCCUUUAUUUCAUUGGAAGCUUGUUUACUGUCCGGCGAGCUGGCUGCUGUGACGAGAAGCCACAAGUACAAUACCCCGAUUGUGUCCUUCAGGACCUCAAAAUUGCAGUUCUUACACAAACUCAGUUCUUGCUGUGAGAAAGGUUUUCUCUGUGCUUCUUCGCCUCCAAAAGUGAGAUUGAAUGCUUUCCUUGUGUCAGGCUUAAUCAAGCAGUGGAGGCAAUAACGGAAGAUGCAGGAGGAUUAGGCUCGCUCAGGCAAUCUUUUCCCUUUGGGGAUCAUACUUGGGCUUGUUCUUUGGAUUUAACACAGACGCUUAUAGCUGACCUAUAGAGAGACAGACACUGGGCACGGCCAGCCAGCAGCUGGCCAUGGGGAACCCUUGCUCAGUUUGGAAGGCAGUGCCCGAUGUUUAUGAGGCACUCCCUGCGUGCCAGGCACCACGCAGAGUGCUGAGUCUAUGAUCUCACUCAAUCCCCGGAGCAGUAUAAUGAAGGAUGCUUCAGAUGUGGACAUGGAGGGAAGGAGAGGUUCUGACUCACCCAAGGGCACACAUUAGUGAGUGGUGGAGCCAGGUCUCACACAGGCAUUUGGUUCCAGAGCCCAAGUUUGCAGGACACCUGGCAUGUGCUCAUUGCCACCACUGACGUAGAACAUGAGAUGCAGAGCACGUGUGCAGGAUGAAGGAGCAUUGACAGUAGUGCAGGGGAUUGAGGCCUGGACUGGGCAGUGUUAAAUGAAAUCAUUAAAGUUAUACACAUCCCAUUUGUGGUAACCAGUUGACUGCAAAGCACCCUAGAAUCACUCUUGAAGUUCUAACAAUUGCUUUCCAAACAAAAGAAAGGACGGGCGUGUCUGUUUGUAUGUGUGUUUUAGGGCUUGUGACUCAUCUGGAGCAUCUGUUCCUCAUAAGAGCACUUUUCCAAACAGGAUUUGUGAAGAGGUGACCCAAAUUUCAAGACAAUGUUGGAUGCAAACGGAUUUGCCAGCAACUGCAUCACUGUCAAAACCAGCUCUGCCCGUGUCUUCCGAAGAUACCAAGUGAAAUACAUGUAGAUGGGAUUUACAUCUGAAAAACCAAGGCAAGAGGCCAUGGGAAGGGACGGAGGUGGAACAGGACUGGACAGAAGCUGAUAAAUGGUUGUUGCUGAGUACUGGGCAGAUAGGGGUUGGUUAUCCUAUUGUCUUUACUUUCAUAUAUUUUAUUUUUUCUGUAAUAAAACAAAUUAAAAUCACCUGUCGUGACCUCACAGGGGCCAGUGUGGGUUGUGGCGUGAGGCAGGAAGCUCUGCAGAGUUCCUUGGUCAAAAGGAUUAAUUACAAAAGAACUCCAUGAACACCGAGAAGAAGAGAAGGGAAUCCUGGCAUUUAAAGCCACAAAGAAACUUGAUAUGGUCUUGUCUCCUUCUCUCAAUUGACAGUGAGAAACUGAAGACCAGAGAGGGUGAGUGGUUUACUCAGUUUGGCACAACUGACCCCAACCUAGCCCUCCAUGAGGACUGAGCGCAUGAGAGAUCCUGAGCCACAGCCGCCCAGCCCUGCUCCUCUCGAAUUUCUGACCUACAGGAACUGCAAGAAGUAAUGAAAGACUGCUGUUUAAAGCCACUGCAUUUUGGCAUGAUUUGUUAUGCAGUCGUAGAUAACCAGAAAACAUCGGAUUUACAUUUUAAGGUAAACUUUUUAUUGAAACAUCACAUACACACAGAGACGUCCACCAAUUGGCUCGAUGAGCUUUCUCAAAGGAAACACAUUCUCUGAGCAGUGUGCACAUCCAGACACAUCAUCUCCAUCCUCCAGAAGCCCCCUCCUGUUAUCGCCACUCACAGGUCACCCGUCUCCUGACUUGCAGCCACAGAGAUAGUCCUGCCUAAUUCUGAACGUGGUACAAACGGAAUCAUACAGAAUGGGCUUGGCUUCUUUCACUCUGGGCUGUGUUUAUGAGCAUCACCCAGAUUGCUGCAUGGAAGCCAUCGUUUGUUCAUUUUCACCACCAUAGAGUAUUCUACUGUUGAUGGGACAUAGGCUAUUUAUUCCUUCUACUGUUGAGGGACGCAUAGUUAUUUCCAGCUGGAGACUGGUAUAUGUCUCUUGGCUACCUUCUGCAUGCAUUUCUGUUGGAGGUUGUUUCAGGUAUCUCUUAACGUAUAACAGACCACCCUCAAAUUGAGUCCUUGAAACAAUUACCAUUUUCUUCUUUCUCAGGAUUUGGUGCAUGGGAUGGGCUCAGUUGGGCAGUUCUUCUGUUCCAUGUGAUGGUACUGGGGCUGCAGUCAUUCAGAGGCUCAACUGGGCUGAACGUGCAAGGUUUCUUGCUCACGUGGCCAUCAGUGGUGCUGGCUGCUGUUGGGAGCUCCACUGGACUUCUGUCCAGAGCUCCUCAGCUCACCUCUCUGUAUCCUUGCCCUGUGGCUCAGGCUUCUAACAAUACAGAGGCUGGAUUCCAAGAGGAGGGAAUUAGAAGCGUUCAGCCUUCUUAAGACCAGGAUUCAGAUGUCCCAGACUGUCACUGUAUUGACCGGAGCAUUUACAGGCCAGCCUAGUAAUUUUUCCAUCUUGGGCAGGAAUGGGUGGCAUAUGCUGGGGGUAGGGGUAGCAUUGUUGGGGAUCAUCUUUGGAGCUGUGUGCCAAGGAGUAAAUUGCUGGGCUGCUUUCUACCUGAGGAAGUCCACUAUGCUUGCUUGUGGAGAGUGGAUUGUGUGCUCAGAGUCCACAAGGAUUUAAGAAUCCGAGCCCUGCUGCCCUUGCCUCAGCCUGUGCAUUAGGGCCCGGUGGUGAGAGCACUGAGCCAUUGUGAAUCAAGGCCCCUCCCUCGACCUGCAUACUAACAGGCCAGAAGAGCUUGCUUGAUUUUGGUCCUAGGCUCCUGCCUGUGGGUUGGAUUCCAGGGGCACUCUCUCCUCCACAAACCAGACGGUGGCAGGUACAUCCCCUCAAUGGAAAUUGCCCACACUUCACCCUAAAGACAGAUCCUGCUGUUCAGCAACAAUGUGAGUGGCCCACACAUUUGUCCAGCAUGAAACCGUUUGCAGAUUCCUUUCCAGUACACAGUCCCGUCAGCCGGUCACUUCACGAUGACAGCUCCUCGAAGCACCUUUUGGUUUGCAGUUGUGUAGCUUAGAAGUAGGAGCCUGCACGGCUUCAGGAAUUCACAGAAGGAGCACACUUUGUGCUUGGAGAAGUUAAUUAUAGGAAUAUCCUGCAACCUGCUGCUCUGAGCCUGUGCACCUGGGGUGUUUCCCUGGAGGUCCUGUGUAUGAGGAUACUCAUCAGCAUGGGGUUUGGGAAGCCUAGCAGUGGAGACAACCUAGGUGGUCCUCUCCAGGGGAGUAGGUAAGAGCCCUACAGCAGUGAAAAGCAUUGAAGGAAAAGUGUGUUCAGCAGUGCUCUUAAUCUGAUCAGAGCAGCCUGAACACAUUCUAAACACAGGGCAUUUAGAACUAGGGUAGAGGCACUAGAGCACCAUAGAUACAAACUCAGAUUCUGAAGGUAAAUGCCCAGGUUCAAAUCCAAGCCCCCUCGCCAAGUGACCAUGACUCCCCCGAGUCACCUGACCUCUGUGUUUACAUCCUCAAAGUUAAGUAGUCAGGAAAGGGGGCUUGGGGCUUGCCACAUGGAUGGUUGCCACUCUCCUUUGCAAAGUGUAGUCCCCAAAAACAGGUGGAAGAGGGAAGGGUCCAAUUAGAAGGCCGAGUACCAGCUGCCAUGAAUAUGCCAGAGCUGCUGGCUAGUGAUAAAUAACUGAAACCCAGGGGGACAGCAGAGCUUGGGUGACCAUACAUUCUAGGAAAGAAAACAUGCCUGUUGUCCUGGCUUUUUAUCCAGCUUAGACAAAGAUGGGCAAAGAAAAUAAUUUAGAAAAUGGUAGAGAUGGGCACAGAGAAAGGGCACGGAGGGAGGCACAAACAGAAGGCCAAGUGAUGGUGGAGGCAGACAUUGGAGAAAUGCCUUUACAAGCCGGGGAAUGCCAAGGAUGCUGGCAACCCUGGGAGUGGGAAGAACCUGGAACACACCCUCCGUCAGAGUCUCCAGAAGGAACUGGCCCUUCAUCACCUUUCGGACUUCUGGCCUCCAGAACUGGGCAAGAAAAUGUUUCUGCUGUUGGAGGCCAUCCAGCUGGUGGUCAUUUGUUAUGGUUGCCACAGAAAACGAAUAUAGAUUUAGACAUCUAAUUUGCAUAUAUAGAUAUGCAUGUGUAUUUGUUAAAUAAAAGAUAAAGCAUGACAACUCGAUGGACAACGUUACAACUCAUUAAAUUGUGUUGGUUAAAAAAAAUGAUAGAUAUCACCCA